GCCUGGAUGGUGGAAUUGGUAGACACAGGGGACUCAAAAUCCCCCGGCUUCGGUCGUGAGGGUUCGAUUCCCUCUUUAGGCACCA
rnacentral:tRNA from 2 species